rnacentral:rRNA from 1 species
AUUGAACGCUGGCGGCAGGCCUAACACAUGCAAGUCGAGCGGAGCGGCGGACGGGUGAGUAAUGCCUGGGAAUCUGACUGGUAGUGGGGGCUAACGUCAGGAAACGGGCGCUAAUACCGCAUACUAUCAGAUGAGCCUAGGUCGGAUUAGCUAGUUGGUGGGGUAAAGGCCUACCAAGGCGACGAUCCGUAACUGGACUGAGAGUCUGAUCAGUCACACUGGAACUGAGACACGGUCCAGACUCCUACGGAUGGCCGCAGUGGGAAUGAUUGCACAAUGGGCGCAAGCCGAAUGCAGCCUUGCCGCGUUUAUGAAGAAGGCCUUCGGGUUGUAAAUUACUUUCAGCGAGUAGUCUUUACUCGCAGAAGAAGCACCGGCUAACUCCGUGCCAGCAGCCGCGGUAUUC